rnacentral:rRNA from 1 species
AGAGUUUGAUCCUGGCUCAGGAUGAACGCUAGCUACAGGCUUAACACAUGCAAGUCGAGGGGAAACGACAUCGAAAGCUUGCUUUUGAUGGGCGUCGACCGGCGCACGGGUGAGUAACGCGUAUCCAACCUGCCCACCACUUGGGGAUAACCUUGCGAAAGUAAGACUAAUACCCAAUGACGUCUCUAGAAGACAUCUGAAGGAGAUUAAAGAUUUAAUCGGUGAUGGAUGGGGAUGCGUCUGAUUAGCUUGUUUGGCGGGGUUAACGGCCCGACCAAGGCGACGAUCAGUAGGGGUUCUGAGAGGAAGGUCCCCCACAUUGGAACUGAGACACGGUCCAAACUCCUACGGGAGGCA